GUGAGUCAUCGAAUCUUUGAACGCACAUUGCGCCCGUUAGUAUUCUAGCGGGCAUGCCUGUCCGAGCGUCAUUUCAACCCUCAAGCACCGCUUGGCGUUGGGGUCCUACGUCGUAGGCCCCGAAAUACAGUGGCGGACUCGCCGGGACCUCCUUUGCGCAGUAACGCAUCUCGCACCGGGGCCCGGCGGGCUUCCUGCCGUAAAACCCCCCAAUUUUACGCAAGGUUGACCUCGGAUCAGGUAGGAAUACCCGCUGAACUUAAGCAUAUCAAUAAGCGGAGGA
rnacentral:misc_RNA from 1 species